rnacentral:rRNA from 1 species
AGGACGAACGCUGGCGGCGUGCUUAACACAUGCAAGUCGAGCGGAAAGGCCUUUCGGGGUACUCGAGCGGCGAACGGGUGAGUAACACGUGAGUAAUCUGCCCAUCGCUUCAGGAUAGCCAUCGGAAACGGUGAUUAAUACUGGAUAUGACAUUCCUUCGCAUGUUGGGGUGUGGAAAGUUUUUUCGGCGGUGGAUGUGCUCGCGGCCUAUCAGCUUGUUGGUGGGGUAAUGGCCUACCAAGGCUUUGACGGGUAGCCGGCCUGAGAGGGUGACCGGCCACACUGGGACUGAGACACGGCCCAGACUCCUACGGGAGCAGCAGUGGGGAAUAUUGGACAAUGGGCGGAAGCCUGAUCCAGCAACGCCGCGUGAGGGAUGACGGCCUCGGUUGUAAACCG